rnacentral:rRNA from 1 species
GACGAACGCUGGCGGCGUGCUUAACACAUGCCAGUCGAACGGAGAAGCCCCUCGGUGGGGGUGUGCUCGGAUGGCGAAAGUAAGAGUAACACGAGCUUAACCCGGCCUUGGCUUUGCUAUAACUACAUGAGACUAGUGCUGAUAGCUGAUAGCUUCUCCUACGGGUGGGUGUGGGUUGGGAUUUUGGGUCGGGUGGGGCUCGACCCCCGGCUUAUCAGCUUGUUGGUGGGGGAGUGGCUUACCAAGGCCUUGACGGGUAGCCGGCCUGAGAGGGUGACCGGCCACAUUGGGACUGAGAUACGGCCCAGACUCCUACGGGAGGCAGCAGUGGGGAAUAUUGCACAAUGGGCGGAAGCCUGAUGCAGCAACGCCGCGUGCGGGAUGACGGCCUUCGGGUUGUAAACCGCUUUCGCCUGUGACGAAGCGUGAGUGACGGUAAUGGGUAAAGAAGCACCGGCUAACUACGUG